UACAGAGGGUGCGAGCGUUGUCCGGAAUCACUGGGCGUAAAGGGCGCGUAGGUGGUGGCUUAAGCGUGCGGUGAAAGCUCGGAGCUCAACUCCGAGUCGGCCGUGCGAACUGGGCUCACUGGAGCAUAGUAGAGGCAGGUGGAAUUCCGGGUGUAGCGGUGGAAUGCGUAGAGAUCCGGAAGAACACCGGUGGCGAAGGCGGCCUGCUGGGCUAUGGCUGACACUGAGGCGCGGACAGCGUGGGGAGCAAACAGG
rnacentral:rRNA from 1 species